UUGAAAUACGGGGCCCCGUACAAUCACCGAAGUUAAGCAACGUCGAGCAUGGUCAGUACCUAAAUGGGUGACCGUUUUGGAAUGCCAGGUGAUGU